rfam:Treponema berlinense strain ATCC BAA-909 genome assembly, contig: EI67DRAFT_scaffold00009.9
AUCAUGGAGAGUUUGAUCCUGGCUCAGAAUAAACGCUGGCGGCGUGUCUUAAGCAUGCAAGUCGGACGGCAAGCCGCCUUCGGGCGGCCUAGAGUGGCGGACUGGUGAGUAACACGUGGGUGAUAUACCUUUUGGACGGGGAU